GAUGAACGCUGGCGGCGUGCCUAAUACAUGCAAGUCGAGCGAACAGACGAGGAGCUUGCUCCUCUGACGUUAGCGGCGGACGGGUGAGUAACACGUGGAUAACCUACCUAUAAGACUGGGAUAACUUCGGGAAACCGGAGCUAAUACCGGAUAAUAUAUUGAACCGCACGGUUCAACAGUGAAAGACGGUUUUGCUGUCACUUAUAGAUGGAUCCGCGCCGCAUUAGCUAGUUGGUAAGGUAACGGCUUACCAAGGCAACGAUGCGUAGCCGACCUGAGAGGGUGAUCGGCCACACUGGAACUGAGACACGGUCCAGACUCCUACGGGAGGCAGCAGUAGGGAAUCUUCCGCAAUGGGCGAAAGCCUGACGGAGCAACGCCGCGUGAGUGAUGAAGGUCUUCGGAUCGUAAAACUCUGUUAUUAGGGAAGAACAAAUGUGUAAGUAACUAUGCACGUCUUGACGGUACCUAAUCAGAAAGCCACGGCUAACUACGUG
rnacentral:rRNA from 1 species